rnacentral:lncRNA from 1 species
UUAACUUUUACAGUUGCCAAAAUGCAUAGCAUUUUCAUUGAAUGCUUCUUCCCAGAUCAUGCUCUCUGUUGUUCAGCAUUUUAUUUUAUAAUUCAUAUUCAUUUUUGGCACACUAUCAAUAAUCGAAACAUUUCAAGCUCAAUUUUGUCGUUUUGGGUUCUCCAUUAAUAUUUCAUCUCAUUUCUAAUUGAAGAAUUUACAAUUGGUGGCAGGGGAAGUGAUGAUAUCUGGGAGAUGUUGCUCAAGCAACAGUUGCUCCCUUCCACUCUUUACACUCUCCACAUCUAUAGACUAUCAAGUCUGAAAUCUUUGGACAGAAAGGGACUUAAAAACAUCACUUCUCUUUCCUUUCUGAGUAUCUCCAAGUGUUUUUCCCGGUAGAAAAGGUAUAAGAAGAUGACAGGAAAAGAUUGGGCCAACAUAUCUCACAUUCCUUGCAUCAAGAUAGGCCACGAAGUGAUCAUAUGAGAUGAGCUCUCUCUCUCUCUCUCUCUCUCUCUCUCUCUCUCACACACAUUCCUGGAAGUCAUCAUAUGGUAUGUACAUCAAGAUAGGCCCAAUUUUAUUUUAUUUUAUUUUUCCAACAAUUGCAUAUUUGAAGAAUACAUGCAUAUUAUCGUGCAGACUGCCAUGUACAUACAUACCAAAAGGUCUUGUUCAACUGAAAAGAUUGACAUAGGAAAUUUAUUCACAUGGUAUAAGUAACAGAUUCAUGAAUGGAAAAUGCGAUCCAAAGCAUAUUGGUUACUUUUAUGACUCUUUGGAUUAGUAGUAGUUGGCAUAUCAGCUGAGGCUUUAUGACUGUAUUAUUAAAAGGAGUCAGCCGCUCAGAAUAAAAACUACAUAUUUCAAAAGUGUAUCUCCCUGAUCCAGCUGCUGCUUCAUUACCUAGUAGCUUUAUCUAUGUAGUUGCGGCUAGUAAGAAGGUAAGAUUGAGCUGAGUUAACCUUGCUUCGUGCAAUGCAUUGUUGUGUAAAGCUUAAAUUUUUUGGUAGAAAGAAGAGGGCUAUGGUUUUCGAGAUACGUGAUGAAUGACAACUGGGCAGUUUGGUUGGAUAGGGAUAGGAGGUUCUUUGAUGAUUUGAAGGGUGAGGGGAUGUGGAUCACUUGUGGGAGAGGGUUCAUUUCUUUGGCGCCUCAUUGGACUCUGUAUCCUUGGACUUUAGGAAAUUUUCUUUCUUCGUCGUCUAUACAAAUAAGCAAGUUGCUGUAGUUUAGAUCUUCUUUAUGUGAUGUUUCUGUUUUGUUCAUUGGUGUUUGAGUUGUUCUGUAAUUGUUUUUGUUUUGACCUGCUAAGGGUGUGUACCUUGCGGGCUGUUGCUAUACUCCUUUAUUUUUCAUGAAAGUGGGGUUUCGUCAUUGAAAAAAAAGAAGAAGAAUUUUUGUGUAUGUAAAACGAUACAGAGAUAGGACUAUAUAAGUUGAAGGCAUAUUACAUAACUAGAGGGAAAAUAUCAAUUAAGAAUCAGUUGACAUAUUUUUAUUGCCUAAUUCUUGAUACCCGGGAGUAUUGACUUCCAACAUGAUUGAGGUCUUAUGCUAAUUGGCAUAUUUAUUGCAUUUAUAAUAUCUUAUGUGCAAAUGAUUUUCUUGUUUGUUUUUACAGUCCCACAAAUCAUUCCUUCAGCUGCAAAGUUCCAUUUGAUGACACUUGAAAUGUUGUAUGUAUACUUGUAGACUCAUGUUUGGAGGUCAAAGAAACUUGUGUAGGCAACCAUGCAUGAUUUCAGAGUCGAAGCUGCUUCACUGGCCUUUCUGUGCUCGCUUCUGUAAAGGUAUAUCAGAUUAGUUUGUCAUCAAGAUUUAAUAUGGUUCACUUUUUUGUUGCUUUCCUAUUACCAUCAAUUUUCUUAUUCCAAAUUGGAUUGGUAGGAUCAAACCAAGCAGGUUCAUACAUUGAAUGUAUGACAUCAUCAGCGUUUCAGACAGAAAAUGGGCCUUGAAUUGUGUUCUGAGCCAGUGGAUUUUUCUAGAAUCUAAAGUGCAAUGGAAAAUUACUGAAGUGAUCUACACGAAGAGUAAACAUUUUUUCUGUUGGAUGCUGGAGGUGCCUCUUAUAAGUGGCUAAGUUGCAAUAUGUGGUGUCAUCAAAUGCUCUGCAAAAAGGUAAGUCAUCAAGUAACUUACGCUUUUAAUUAUUUGAUGGGUAUAUCAUCUCAGUUCUUGUAAUGUGGAGUCGUCACCAACAGGUCCGUCACAUUACAUUAGUCAUAUAUGGGAUUUGAAUCAUUACUUUGUGCUAUUGAACACUCAAAUGGAGAUAGAUUUUUUGUCUGUGGAUGCCACUGGUUAAUAUUGUCAUGUCAUUGGUUAUUUAUUGUACUUGAACAGUCAAUUGAGAUUGAUUGUUUUGUCUCAUUUCUGAUGGUUGCUUACUUAAAUCUGUUCUUCAGCAGUUCAAGUUGAGACUGGAGCUGAACAAGGAUCAGGUCAGCUGUAUAUUUCGUGGUAAACACCUCUUUCUAUACACAUUUCCUACUGUCUACAUAGAUUAAUUUAUCAGCAUGAUUCUAUAGUGCAUUUAGAACCUAAACAUAAAGAAUAAAUUCCUGUUGUCAUUAAUUUGUCGAUUCGAAUUUGGACUUCUAGGAACAGACCCAGCAUGUUCAUACAUGGCUUGGCUCACUUCAUCUUCUUUUGAGACAGAAAAUCAGCCUUCAACCGUCUGCUGAUACAAUAGACUUUUCUAUAUAUCUCAAGUGCAAUGGAAAAUUGCAGACUUACAUAAAGAUUCGCAAAGAUUUCUGUUUGAAAUUUUCUACCAGAGGCUGGAAAUGCUGCUUAUAAGUGGCUAAGUUGCAAAAAAUUGUAGGAUUGAAGGCUCUGCAGACUGCACAGAGGUAAGAAGUCAUCGUCAUCAAGUAACUCCUGAAUGGCUGCAUCUUAGAAGAAUGACACUGAAUCUGUAUAGCUCAUCUUCAAUCUAAAGAUUAGAAGUCACAUGAAAAAGUGUUGUAUUCUUUUGUCCUCUAUUGUAGUUUAUUUGGUGCUCUUUUGACUUUUAGAGGUGUUUUCAAAUUUGAGAAUCCAGUAAAUGCAUGCGUACAUAUAUUGAAAGUAUUCCAUAUGAUUUCUUCUCGAAGAAUUUUCGCGAUAAUAUUUCUGAGAAGUGUUUUCUUACAUACUGAUGAAAUGAAGUAAUCAC